AUUUGGUGGAGUUUUGUGGUUCCUUUAGAGCAUUUCACCUAGAGGAAAACAAACCAAAAACAGAUUACAAACCUACUGUGUGCCAUGUGAUAUCAGGCGACCAUCUCCUAGCAUCAUAGCAUGAGUAUAUUGCCCAAUCUCUUUG